UACAGAGGGUGCGAGCGUUGUUCGGAAUUAUUGGGCGUAAAGGGUGCGUAGGCGGUUCCGCAAGUCCUGUGUGAAAUCUUCGGGCUCAACUCGAAGUCUGCACGGGAAACUGCGGGGCUUGAGUGUGGGAGAGGUGAGUGGAAUUCCCGGUGUAGCGGUGAAAUGCGCAGAUAUCGGGAAGAACACCCGUGGCGAAGGCGGCUCUCUGGGACGGUACUGACGCUGAGA
rnacentral:rRNA from 1 species